GCUAUCAUUGGGCCCCACAUACCGAAACCCAGACGUACUUUCCCUCACCAAGCCAUUGAUAGGCUCUGCUGGCCCAGACCUACCUCCACUUUCCCCUGCCAAGCCAGCUGUGGGCCCCACAUACCUGGGCCCAUCCCAUGUUCCUCCUUCGAGCCAUCUAUGGACCCUCAUCUCCCCUUAUUCUAGGUCUGAAACUGCCUGCAUCUCCUUAGCCUGGGCCAUGGCCUCCCCUGCAGACAAUGCCCACCUCCCAAUUCUGAGGUGGGCCAUGCUCCCUCCCACGCACAGGGUAGAGAUUCAUCUGGAGACCAAACCAAGGGUGGCUCCUUGUUCAGAGGGGUAACCUAAAGGGAGAGGCAGGCCGAGAGCUGGGGAAUGAAAGUGACAAAAAACAGGACUUUCAAUGUCUUGGGAAGACUUACAGAUUUCCCAGGACAGCUAUUUCAAAAAAUGGACAAUCCUGGACAGGUGGCAACUCUUGCUCUGAUUGAGCAUGGUAAAAACAGCAGUGUAGCUGUGGCAGGACAGGUUAGCUGUCCCGCAUACAUACCCAAGGUUUCAGAUGGGAUUGUACUUGAGGUGACUAACCAGACCCGUGCCUAUGCAGCUGCAGCUACGCUUCUUGGCACACACCUUCCUCCGCUGCCUCUGAGGGAUCUGACUGGCAGCUCUACUAUCUCCAUCUGAAGGGUCUCCUGCGUGACCUCUGUGAGCUGCCAGUCUUUUACGAAGACUUCCUUGUGGAGCCACUGCUGCACAACCCCCAUCUCACUGUGCAUGUGGUGGAGUCCCCCUCAGUGCACUGGAGGUUGGUCCUGACCGGUAUCACCAGGAUUGGAGAUCCAGGAGACUACAACCGGAGGGACUGGGUGGACCUCCAGGCACUCAGCUGGCACAUGGGGCUCUCCACCUCUCGCAUGCCUCAGUGUAUACUCCAGGAGGUGAGGGCAGUCUUACUACAUGCCUUUCAUGCUUUCCCCAAUUGGGCCCUGCAGGAGGGUGUUCUCUGUCUACCCCUCAGCUCUGGCCCUCUGGACCUCACCAUCAGGCCCCUGUCCCCACAAGCCUUCCUGGCUGCAUCACCUGAGCAGGCUGCAUGACCUGUGAACUGCAACCAGGAAACAGCUGCUCCACACCCAUCACUUCCUCACCCUUGUGUCUCACCCCCACACCCAGGACCUCCUACCACCCAUGGAGGGUAAGGAACGCCGGGGGGCCGGUCUAUAUUCCGCCCUCGUCCUGCUGCCCGCCUGACAUUGUAGUUGGUAGCUCGUUCACAGAGCCCUGAGCACAGGCAUGGUUCACCACCUCCCCUGACACCUGCUCCUCCUGCAUUGAGGGGGAGAUCCUGGCGAACAUCUACCUUGAGUGUGCCAGGCUGUAGCCCCUUUUCUAGCGCCUCCAGAACCUCCUUCUCACAUUCUAGCCACACUUUCCCCCUCAUCUUCUGAUAUAUGCAUACCCCACCUGUGGCCCACGAUGUCAUGAGACUUCCUCACAUCAGCCUCCUCCUGGUGUUGGCCACGGUGACCAUCCACCAUACCAAGAGGAGGAAGCUAGAUGUGGAGGUGCUGUGCGACUGUGGCACUAUGUGACGUUGCACUCCGUAUGUUUAUGGAAAUAUGCUUAUGAGUGUAAAUAUAAUGUAACUGGAAUAUGCUUUAUGCAAAAGGUCUCAUAAGGUAUCAUUACAAAGCUUAUAAUCUA